GGGCGAGAUGUGUGUAACACGGCCCACUCUGCAAAGGUGGGUUUGAUAGGAUUUAUCCUCGUCUU